rnacentral:rRNA from 1 species
UACGUAGGGGGCAAGCGUUGUCCGGAUUUAUUGGGCGUAAAGAGCGUGUAGGCGGCCAAGCAGGUCCGCUGUGAAAACUCGAGGCUCAACCUCGAGACGUCGGUGGAAACCGUUUGGCUAGAGUCCGGAAGAGGAGAGUGGAAUUCCCGGUGUAGCGGUGAAAUGCGCAGAUAUCGGGAAGAACACCGAUGGCGAAGGCAGAUCUCUGGGCCGUAACUGACGCUGAGGAGCGAAAGCAUGGGGAGCGAACAGG